rnacentral:tRNA from 1 species
GCCAGUGUAGCUCAAGUGGCAGAGCAUCCGCCUUGUAAGCGGAAGGCUGCCCGUUCGAUUCGGGCCACUGGCU